AAGAAAAAAAAAAAUAAUAAUAAUAAAGCAAUUGUUUCAAAAACAAUUGUUAGGCAGUCUUUCCCCUAUGAUGAAUGGAUAAUUGAUUUUUUUUAUUGAUUGAUUUGGAAAAAGGGGGGGGGGGGUAUUUGUUUAUUUGUUUGUUUGUUUGCUUUGGUAUGGGGUCUAUAUUAUUAUGUUACCGGAGAAGUUUCAUGUUUAGUUUGGAAAGUUUUUUCUUUUAUUUUAGAUACAGCGCGCGCGCAAGAUUGAGGAGACAUCACGUGACGCGGGUUUAUAUUAAGAAAAACUUAGUCUUUUUAUUUCUUUUUAGGUCGGGACUUUGAACAGACAACAUCUAUAGAGAUGGAAUGUACACAAUGUAAUUUCUUUUGUCAUUGUAGGAAAUUGACAUUUUGAUCACAGUUCACCAGCAGUGCAUGUUUUGGAUUUAAUCGAUCCGGUGUAACUUUAAAACACAUUUAAUGAUUAUUUUUUGAUAAUGUCCAUUUUUCAGCACCUGUUUGUAACACAGAUUAGUAUUUCAAUCUCGGAGCGGACAUUUUAUUGUAGGUUUUUACUGAGAUUGACGGACCUAGCAAGCGAUUUUUACGGCAUUGCCAUUUCUUUUUUCUAGGAAAAGUCUUGAGAGAUAUCUGCAAAAAGUUUUUUUUAUGAACCUUCAGUACAUGUAUGCCCUGCUGACUGCAAAUUUUCAGGUCGAUUGGACUUGUAGUUUCAGAGAAUAUGUGGAUUUUUUUUCAGAAGAGACGUAAGAACAAUAAUAAAAUAAAAAUUUUCUUGAAUAAUUGAGAGUUUGUUCCUUCAAUAAACUGUCAUAAAUAAACAGUCAUACAUAUUGAUUGAUUGAUUAGUUGGUUGAUUGAUUGGUUGGUUGGUUGGUUUGUUUGUUGGUUGGUUGAUUAAACACGUUUGAUAGGGUCACUUAGAACAAGGGAAAAAAAACUCAAGAGACCUUGCAUCCCGUAUUAAACGCAUGACACGGAAACAUACAUUAAGUGAUUGAUUGGUUGGUUGGUUGGUUAAACACGUUAGUUAAACAUGUUGGUUGAACACGUUGGUUAAACACGUUGGCUGGUUAAACACGUUGGAAAGGCUCAAUUUAAACAAGCGAAAAAAAACAUCUUGGAUCCCGUAUUUAACACAUGAAACGGAAACAUGCAUUGAUUGGUUGAUUGGUUGAUUGGUUGGUUGGUUGGUUGGUUAAACACGUUGGUUAAACAUGUUGGUUAAACACGUUGGUUAAACACGUUGGCUGGUUAAACACGUUUGAUAGGCUCAAUUUUAACAAGCGAAAAAAAAAACAUCUUGGAUCCCGUAUUUAACACACAUGAAACGGAAACAUGCAUUGAUUUAUUGGUUGGUUGGUUGGUUGGUUGGUUGGUUGGUUGAUUGAUUGGUUAAACACGUUGGUUAAACAUGCUGGUUAAACACGUAGUUUAAACACGUUUGAUAGGCUCAAUUUUAACAAGCGAAAAAAAAACCAUCUUGGAUCCCGUAUUUAACACAUGAAACGGAAACAUGCAUUGAUUGAUUGAUUGUUGAUUGGUUGAUUGGUUGGUUGGUUGGUUGGUUGGUUGGUUGGUUAAACAUGUUGGUUAAACACGUUGGUUAAACACGUUGGCUGGUUAAACACGUUAGAUAGGCUCAAUUUAAACAAGCGAAAAAAAAAAAACCAUCUUGGAUCCCGUAUUUAACACAUGAAACGGAAACAUGCAUUGAUUGAUUGGUUGAUUGGUUGGUUGGUUGGUUGGUUGGUUAAACACGUUGGUUAAACACGUUGGUUAAACAUGUUGGUUAAACACGUUGGCUGGUUAAACACGUUAGAUAGGCUCAAUUUAAACGAGCGAAAAAAAACAUCUUGGAUCCCGUAUUUAACACAUGAAACGGAAACAUGCAUUGAUUGGUUGAUUGGUUGGUUGGUUAAACACGUUGGUUAAACAUGUUGGUUAAACAUGUUGGCUGGUUAAACACGUUUGAUAGGCUCAAUUUAAACAAGCGAAAAAAAACCAUCUUGGAUCCCGUAUUUAACACAUGAAACGGAAACAUGCAUUGAUUUAUUGGUUGGUUGGUUGGUUGGUUGGUUGGUUGGUUAAACACGUUGGUUAAACACGUUGGUUAAAACACGUUGGCUGGUUAAACACGUUGAUAGGCUCAAUUUUAAACAAGCGAAAAAAAACAUCUUGGAUCCCGUAUUUAACACAUGAAACGGAAACAUGCAUUGAUUGAUUGAUUGGUUGGUUGGUUGGUUGGUUAAACACGUUGGUUAAACAUGUUGGUUAAACAUGUUGGUUAAACACGUUGGCUGGUUAAACACGUUAGAUAGGCUCAAUUUAAACAAGCGAAAAAAAACCAUCUUGGAUCCCGUAUUUAACACAUGAAACGGAAACAUGCAUUGAUUGAUUGAUUGAUUGGUUGGUUGGUUGGUUGGUUGGUUAAACACGUUGGUUAAACAUGUUGGUUAAACACGUUGGUUAAAAUGCUGGUUAAACACGUUGGAUAGGCUCAAUUUAAACAAGCGAAAAAAAAAAUCUUGGAUCCCGUAUUUAACACAUGAAACGGAAACAUGCAUUGAUUGAUUGAUUGGUUGGUUGGUUGGUUGGUUAAACACGUUGGUUAAACAUAUUGGUUAAACACGUUGGCUGGUUAAACACGUUAGAUAGGCUCAAUUUAAACAAGCGAAAAAAAAAACAUCUUGGAUCCCGUAUUUAACACAUGAAACGGAAACAUGCAUUGAUUGAUUGAUUGAUUGGUUGGUUGGUUGGUUGGUUGGUUAAACACGUUGGUUAAACACGUUGGUUAAACAUGUUGGUUAAACACGUUGGCUGGUUAAACACGUUAGAUAGGCUCAAUUUAAACGAGCGAAACAAAACAUCUUGGAUCCCGUAUUUAACACAUGAAACGGAAACAUGCAUUGAUUGAUUGAUUGAUUG
rnacentral:lncRNA from 1 species